rnacentral:rRNA from 1 species
GCUAUUCUACAGGCUUAACACAUGCAAGUCGAGGGGCAGCAUCAUCAAAGCUUGCUUUGAUGGAUGGCGACCGGCGCACGGGUGAGUAACACGUAUCCAACCUGCCGACAACACUGGGAUAGCCUUUCGAAAGAAAGAUUAAUACCGGAUGGCAUAGUUUUCCCGCAUGGGAUAAUUAUUAAAGAAUUUCGGUUGUCGAUGGGGAUGCGUUCCAUUAGGCAGUUGGCGGGGUAACGGCCCACCAAGACUACGAUGGAUAGGGGUUCUGAGAGGAAGGUCCCCCACAUUGGAACUGAGACACGGUCCAAACUCCUACGGGAGGCAGCAGUGAGGAAUAUUGGUCAAUGGGCGCGAGCCUGAACCAGCCAAGUAGCGUGAAGGAUGAAGGCUCUAUGGGUCGUAAACUUCUUUUAUAUGGGAAUAAAGUUUUCCACGUGUGGAAUUUUGUAUGUACCAUAUGAAUAAGGAUCGGCUAACUCCGUGCCAGCAGCCGCGGUAAUACGGAGGAUCCGAGCGUUAUCCGGAUUUAUUGGGUUUAAAGGGAGCGUAGGUGGAUUGUUAAGUCAGUUGUGAAAGUUUGCGGCUCAACCGUAAAAUUGCAGUUGAAACUGGGAGUCUUGAGUACAGUAGAGGUGGGCGGAAUUCGUGGUGUAGCGGUGAAAUGCUUAGAUAUCACGAAGAACUCCGAUUGCGAAGGCAGCUCACUAGACUGUCACUGACACUGAUGCUCGAAAGUGUGGGUAUCAAACAGGAUUAGAUACCCUGGUAGUCCACACAGUAAACGAUGAAUACUCGCUGUUUGCGAUAUACAGUAAGCGGCCAAGCGAAAGCAUUAAGUAUUCCACCUGGGGAGUACGCCGGCAACGGUGAAACUCAAAGGAAUUGACGGGGGCCCGCACAAGCGGAGGAACAUGUGGUUUAAUUCGAUGAUACGCGAGGAACCUUACCCGGGCUUAAAUUGCAACAGAAUAUAUUGGAAACAGUAUAGCCGUAAGGCUGUUGUGAAGGUGCUGCAUGGUUGUCGUCAGCUCGUGCCGUGAGGUGUCGGCUUAAGUGCCAUAACGAGCGCAACCCUUAUCUUUAGUUACUAACAGGUUAUGCUGAGGACUCUAGAGAGACUGCCGUCGUAAGAUGUGAGGAAGGUGGGGAUGACGUCAAAUCAGCACGGCCCUUACGUCCGGGGCUACACACGUGUUACAAUGGGGGGUACAGAAGGCGGCUACCUGGUGACAGGAUGCUAAUCCCAAAAACCUCUCUCAGUUCGGAUCGAAGUCUGCAACCCGACUUCGUGAAGCUGGAUUCGCUAGUAAUCGCGCAUCAGCCAUGGCGCGGUGAAUACGUUCCCGGGCCUUGUACACACCGCCCGUCAAGCCAUGAAAGCCGGGGGUACCUGAAGUACGUAACCGCAAGGAGCGUCCUAGGGUAAAACUGGUAAUUGGGGCUAAGUCAU